rnacentral:rRNA from 1 species
AUUGAACGCUGGCGGCAUGCCUUACACAUGCAAGUCGAACGGCAGCACGGGUGCUUGCACCUGGUGGCGAGUGGCGAACGGGUGAGUAAUACAUCGGAACGUACCUUAUCGUGGGGGAUAACGCAGCGAAAGCUGUGCUAAUACCGCAUACGCCCUGAGGGGGAAAGCGGGGGAUCGCAAGACCUCGCGCGAUUAGAGCGGCCGAUGCCUGAUUAGCUUGUUGGUGGGGUAAAAGCCCACCAAGGCGACGAUCAGUAGCUGGUCUGAGAGGACGAUCAGCCACGCUGGGACUGAGACACGGCCCAGACUCCUACGGGAGGCAGCAGUGGGGAAUUUUGGACAAUGGGGGCAACCCUGAUCCAGCAAUGCCGCGUGAGUGAAGAAGGCCUUCGGGUUGUAGAGCUCUUUUGUCAGGGAAGAAACACCGGCUCUAACACAGUCCGGGAAUGACGGUACCUGAAGAAUAAGCACCGGCUAACUACGUGCCAGCAGCCGCGGUAA